UACGUAGGGUGCGAGCGUUGUCCGGAAUUAUUGGGCGUAAAGAGCGUGUAGGCGGUUUGGUAGGUCCGCUGUGAAAACUCGAGGCUCAACUUCGAGACGCCGGUGGAAACCAUCAGACUAGAGUCCGGAAGAGGAGAGUGGAAUUCCUGGUGUAGCGGUGAAAUGCGCAGAUAUCAGGAAGAACACCCGUGGCUAAGGCGGCUCUCUAGUACGGUACUGACGCUGAGACGCGAAAGCGUGGGGAGCGAACAGG
rnacentral:rRNA from 1 species